AUGAAAUAGCAAUUGUUCCAGCUCUGCAACCUGCAUGAAUUCACACUGAAAAGAUCGAAAAUUUCAGGUGAAUUUUCACAAACUUCUCAGACCUUCAGCCAGUGGUCUUACAUUGGAUUAAAAGCAGAGCUGCAGCUGAUGUAUAACUGAAGGGAACACAAAUGUCUUCAUUCUCUGCCCUGUGAAUCACCUGCACAGAGGAAUAACAAAAAAUACCUCUAUGUGGUAGUCCCAGACACCAACCACAGUUACCAAUUAAAGGUUUGAAAGUUGGGAACGAUAUUCCUGAUGUUAUCCUCAAGCAUGAGAAAUGAUGGCCGUGCCAUUGGAAGGUGGAAGAGAUGCAGUGUGACAUCCAUCUGCCUGUUUGCUCUGGCUUGUGUCAAGUAACCAGACUCUUCCAACACCCAUGGAAGUUUUUAACAGGCCCUGAGUACAAUAGCAUCUUCAAUCUCUUACUGAUCUUCUACUCUACUACUGAUAAACCUGGACUAAAAAAUCUCAAAGACCCACAAAAUCCGAUCCAACUUUCUCACAAACUGAUCACCUAAGACAGCAAUGAGCAUCAUUGACAAAUCACUAUCUCAAAAGCUUGUUUGCAGUUUAAGAAUGGUUUGGGUAGAAGAAUAUUAGCAGAAAACCAUAAAUGAGAGUUAGUAAAAUUCUGAUACCAGGACAGUGGCAAAGCCUGUUUGUUUCCCACAAAUGCUGUGAUACCUCUUGCUCAACAAUUAUCUGUGCUGGAGGUUUCAGGAUGCUCGUGAGAUCUUUAUUCUCACUCUCACAUGUUUUUAUAGCCCGUUUGGGACCUUUGUAGACUUAUGCUCAUUAAUCCCCUCAUAAAAGGCUCGGGUAUCAGGUGCCUCCAUGACCAGCAUUCAGACCAUUUGUGUAAUUAGAGAGAAAUACCACAGACUACUCUUAUUCUCUGUAAAGAAAAGUUGGACUAUAAGCUCUGCAGCUCUGACAGCCCAUUCCAAUAGU